rnacentral:rRNA from 1 species
AGUGAACGCUGGCGGUAGGCCUAACACAUGCAAGUCGAACGGCAGCACAGUAAGAGCUUGCUCUUACGGGUGGCGAGUGGCGGACGGGUGAGGAAUACAUCGGAAUCUACUUUUUCGUGGGGGAUAACGUAUGGAAACUUACGCUAAUACCGCAUACGACCUACGGGUUAAAGCAGGGGAUCUUCGGACCUUGCGCGAUUGAAUGAGCCGAUGUCUGAUUUGCUAGUUGGCGGGGUAAAGGCCCACCAAGGCGACGAUCGGAAGCUGGUCUGAGGGGAUGAACGGCCACGGUGGAGCUGGAAGACGACCCUGCGUCUGAGGGACGGCAGAGGUGGGGAAGAUUGGAAGACGGGGGGAAGCUUGAUCCAGCCGUACCGGGUGGGUGAAGAAGGCCUUCGGGUUGUAAAGCCCUUUUGUUGGGAAAAAAAAGCAGCAGGUUAAUACCCGGCUGUUCUGACGGUACCCAAAGAAUAAGCACCGGCUAACUUCGUG